rnacentral:rRNA from 1 species
AUGGCUUCUCUCUCGAGUAGUCCAUGGCUUCAUCUCCUACUGCUUCUCGUGGCCAUGGGCGGCACGUUCGCGGCCGCCGGUGGCAGCGGGAACCCCACCGCCGGGUUCCAGAAGGUGCAGCUCGCCGACGGCGAUUUCCAGGUGCAGAGCCCGUACAACGUGCCGGAGAGCCAGCGGUUCCAGUACCGCAACGGUGUGCGGACGUUCUGGGUGCACCGAAAUGACAAGCCCUUCAACACCGUCACCCACACCAACCCGCGCUCUGAAGUCAAGCUCCGGGGCCACGACUACUCGUCGGGGGUGUGGCAAUUCGAGGGCUAUGGCUACGUGCCGUCGGGGACCUCCGGCGUGUCGGUGAUGCAGAUCCACAACGAGGAGGGCGCCGCGCACUCGACGGUGUUGAUGUUGCACGUCUACGACGGCGUCCUUCGGUUCUACAGCGGGGCGGCCAUCGAGCCCGACAUCUACGACCGGUGGUUCCGCCUCAACGUGAUGCACGACGUCGGCGCGUCCACGGUGGCCGUGUACGUCGACGGCGAGCGAAAGUUCAGCACCAGCGUGACCCCCAGCGAGUCCUACUACUUCAAGUUUGGGGUGUACAUGCAGCACCAUGACCAAUCCAGCUGCAUGGAGUCACGAUGGACCAACGUCACGCUCUAUACUAAGCACUAG